ensembl:snRNA U6 U6 spliceosomal RNA
GAGUUCACUUUGGCAGCACAUAUAUUAAAAUUGUUAACGACAAAGAAGAAUUGCAUGGCCCCUGAGCAAGUAUGUCACACAAAUUAGUGAAAUAUUCCAUAUUUAA